rnacentral:rRNA from 1 species
UACGUAGGGUGCGAGCGUUGUCCGGAAUUAUUGGGCGUAAAGAGCUCGUAGGCGGUCUGUCGCGUCUGCUGUGAAAACCCGAGGCUCAACCUCGGGCCUGCAGUGGGUACGGGCAGACUAGAGUGUGGUAGGGGAGACUGGAAUUCCUGGUGUAGCGGUGAAAUGCGCAGAUAUCAGGAGGAACACCGGUGGCGAAGGCGGUUCUCUGGGCCUUACCUGACACUGAGGAGCGAAAGCGUGGGGAGCGAACAGG